rnacentral:rRNA from 1 species
GACGAACGCUGGCGGCGUGCUUAACACAUGCAAGUCGAACGGAAAGGCCCCUUUGGGGGUACUCGAGUGGCGAACGGGUGAGUAACACGUGAGUAACCUGCCCUUGACUUCGGGAUAACUUCAGGAAACUGGGGCUAAUACCGGAUAGGAAUCCUUGCUGCAUGGUGGGGGUUGGAAAGCUUCGGCGGCUUUGGAUGGACUCGCGGCUUAUCAGCUUGUUGGUGGGGUAGUGGCUUACCAAGGCUUUGACGGGUAGCCGGCCAGAGAGGGCGACCGGCCACAUUGGGACUGAGAUGCGGCCCAGACGCCGACGGGAGGCAGCAGUGGGGAAUAUUGCACAAUGGGCGGAAGCCUGAUGCAGCAACGCCGCGUGCGGGAUGACGGCCUUGGGGUUGUAAACCGGUUUCAGCAGGGGCGAAGCUUGUGGUGACGGUACCUGCAGAAGAAGCACCGGCUAACUACGUG